rnacentral:piRNA from 1 species
UAGUCAGUUCCAGACUUUAGGCUCCAGGA